AUUGAACGCUGGCGGCAGGCCUAACACAUGCAAGUCGAGCGGAUGAAGGGAGCUUGCUCCUGGAUUCAGCGGCGGACGGGUGAGUAAUGCCUAGGAAUCGGCCUGGUAGUGGGGGAUAACGUCCGGAAACGGGCGCUAAUACCGCAUACGUCCUGAGGGAGAAAGUGGGGGAUCUUCGGACCUAAGGCAUUAAGAUGGGCCUAGGUCGGAUUAGCUAGUUGGUGGGGUAAGGGCCUACCAAGGCGACGAUCCGUAACUGGUCUGAGAGGAUGAUCAGUCACACUGGAACUGAGACACGGUCCAGACUCCUACGGGAGGCAGCAGUGGGGAAUAUUGGACAAUGGGCGAAAUCCUGAUCCAGCCAUGCCGCGUGUGUGAAGAAGGUCUUCGGAUUGUAAAGCACUUUAAGUUGGGAGGAAGGGCAGUAAGUUAAUACCUUGCUGUUUUGACGUUACCAACAGAAUAAGCACCGGCUAACUUCGUG
rnacentral:rRNA from 1 species